rnacentral:rRNA from 1 species
GAUGAACGCUAGCGGCAGGCCUAAUACAUGCAAGUCGAGGGGCAGCGGGUGUAGCAAUACAUGCCGGCGACCGGCGCACGGGUGCGUAACGCGUAUGCAACUUACCUCUAACAGGGGAAUAGCCCCGAGAAAUCGGGAUUAAUACCUCAUAAUAUUUAUCAUUCGCAUGUUUGAUAAAUUAAAGCUCCGGCGGUUAGAGAUGGGCAUGCGUGACAUUAGCUAGUUGGUGAGGUAACGGCUCACCAAGGCUGAGAUGUCUAGGGGUUCUGAGAGGACCUUCCCCCACACUAGUACUGAGACACGGACCAGACUCCUACGGGAGGCAGCAGUAAGGAAUAUUGGGCAAUGGACGCAAGUCUGACCCAGCCAUGCCGCGUGCAGGAUGAAGGCCCUAUGGGUUGUAAACUGCUUUUGCACGGGAAGAAACUUCCGCACGUGUGCGGAAUUGACGGUACCGUGCGAAUAAGCACCGGCUAACUCCGUGCCAGCCGCCGCCGUAAGAC